UGAUUUCUCUUCUUUUCUUUUGGUUUGGCAGGUGCCUAGAUUUUUGUCUUUGCACGGGGCAAUGAAAUGGCAGAUGAUCUGGUAACAGUGACAAGAACAAAAUCCCACAUACAACUUAAAAAAAAAAUGAAGAGGCCCUGGAACUGGAUUCAACAGAUUGAGAGGAGGACAAGAUGCCUCAUGCAGCCACUGCUGCUUCAGCCUGAGUCUCAGUAUGAGAAAUGAGGACCACAUGCUCCUGACAAUUGCUGAUCCACCUACAGUUGAUCCUGCAGUCUGGAGCCUAUAGUCCUACCCGUCUUGGCCCUGGAACAGCCCCUCUGCUGCUGAUGGGUAUGAGAAAAAAUGAUUGUUGCUUCAAGUCUAUGAGUGUUAGGGUGCUUUGUUAUUCAGCAUUGUUGUGUGAAUAGCUGACUAAUACAGAUGACCUCCUGAGAUUUUUUUCUAACUCUAUAAAGACAUAUUGACUAUGAAAAUUUCUCAAGUUAUUCCGUUCCAUAAGUGUAUCCAACAGUACUUUGCAAUGUAAUGUGGAUAUUUAGUGCUUUCAACUAAAUGACUUUUCUCUGCAUUGGAAGAACUGGAUCAGUUAAAUAAAUAGAAGUGUGUUUUGAGGGAAUUCUAGAUAUAAUAGGUAUUAAGUGCUGUCUAGUAUAAAGGUAUAAAGGCUGACUAUAUAUUGUGCACUUGGAAUUUGGGAAUUUGAUACUUAUAGGCAUUCCGAGACAUUGUAGAAAGUGAAUUUUGUGCGAAACUCAAAGUGUUCAGAAGUGCUAUGUUGUUUUAAACAGUUCUUAAGUUUGAGCAAACUUCACUCAUAAGCUUUCUAAUUUUCUAAGUAGAAAAAAAAUUUUCAUAUCACAAAGAAUGCAAGUGUGAGGAGCAGUUAGUUCCAAACUGCCUGCUGCUUUCCAGCUAGGAUUGUGUGCAGUUUAUGUCAAAACACUUCAGCAAAGGAAUACAAAUACAGACUAAUGUUUGACUUCUUUUGUUGUGUUGAACUGGAGCCAGCAAAAGUAUUUAUAUAUAAAUCCACUUGUGAAAUGCAUAACCCUUUCAAUGUGACUUAUAUGUUUAAGGCUUAAAGAGAAUUUGGGUUGAUUGACAGAAGCUACCGCUCUUAUAAUGUCAAAAUGUAUGACUGCUUAUGUGGAAACUUUUAAAUUCACUCUUUUUGCUGAGGGAUGUUUACCUUCUGAUUAAGUGCUACUGCAUUAGCACUGAACACUUACUUGCCCUACUAUGUGUAUUGUAAAGCAUAAGCCUUCAAUAUUCACACCUUCCUUCUUCUCUUUAAAAACCCAAGGGAAACAAAUCCCCCCAAACCCCAAGUAUAUGCCUAAAAUAUCUACUUAGACAUUGCCUGAGGGAAAAAUAGAUGGCUUUGCUGUUUUAAACACUUGAACAUAAUGUAGGUAUAAAAGAGAGUCCUGUCAUAUGGAGUCAAAUAUUUCCCUCCUCUCUUGAACAGUAAUAUUCUGCAAAACUGUUUUCUUCUUAGUUCUUAGUGAGGAACUAAGACAUGGCUUUUGAAUCUAUGAUUUAGAUGAGCUUCUGUGGAUGAACGAAUAUAAAAAAGCACAGGCACAUCAGAUGUCUGAGACACCAUGGAGGAAUGUCAUGUCUCCAUUUUUCAAAAGCUCCAUCCUCCCAUUUUGUUGAACUUUAGUACCUUGUUUAAAUUUUUAUUGCAUUCCCACAUAGUGUUAUGCAUAAGUAUAUAAGAAAUGCCACAACAGAUUAGGUCAAUGGUCCAUCUUGCCUGCCUCUGAGGGAUGUUUGGUAGGGAGAUAAGGUUGUCUUUCUUGACAUCACUCUGAAAACAUUAGGGAUCCACUGCACACAUUCCUCACACCCCUUUAAUAUUCCAUUAUCGAGCCAGCAUUUGAGAAUUUUCCUAAACCUUUUAAAACUUAUUUAUAGUUUCACCCUUUGUUAUUCUUUUGGGAACAUAAGAUCACUGCAUAAUUUGUAUUUAAAAAAAUGGCCUCCUCCAAGUUUUAAGAGUUGGUUCCUGAGGUCUAGAAUUUUGAAACUGGAUGAAUAAGUUCCUGAUUAGAAAACCCACCUCUUCACAAUUUCAUAGAAUUUAGUUACCUGGUAGGCUGCUCCUAAAGUUUUUCCUAAUGAUCCACAAAUCCUGGUGUCCACACCCUUAUGCCCUUCCCUAUGCCUGAACUUGACCAAGUGACUUGCUCCUAAUGUAUAGAAUAUGCCAUGAGUGAUGACAUAUCAAUUUCAAGAUUAGGUUAUAAAAGUGUGACUUCCAUCUUUCUUGUGGACUCUGUGUCUUUCUGUGUGCUUGCUCUAAAGAAGUAAACUAUCAUGUCGUAAGCUGCUACAUGGGAAGGGGUCCACGUGACAACGACCCGAGGGCAACCUUUGGCCAACAGCUGGCAAGGAACUGAAGACCUCAGUCCAACAGCCCUUGAGAACCAGAUCCUGCCAACAAUAAUGUGGUGGGCGUGGAAGCUGAUUCUUCCUUUGCUGGACCUUCAGGUGAGGCAACAGACCCCAGUGACACCAUGACUGCAGCUUUGUAGGAGACUUGGAAAGGAAGUUGGGGGCCAUUUCAGAAGCAGCUUAUCAAGUAAUUAACCAGAGAUUGUGGAGGCAUUUGUCUCUAUGUUAAUUGUAUCUUUGAGAAUAGUCCUGCUUUAAGAUCCUAAGAGUUUGCUAUAUUGUUCCUCCAAAAAUAUUUUUAUUUUGGUAAUUCUAAGACAUGUUCCCCCUCUCAGAUCAUUUAUGUGACUUAAAAAUAAUUUAAGGAAUUCCUGCUGUGGUGCAAAGGGUUAAGAUUCCAACUGCAGCAGCUCAGGUUGCUGCAGAGGUGCGAGUUAGAUCCCCUGCCUGGUGCAGUGGGUUAAAGGAUUCAGCAUUGCUGCACCUGUGGUGUAGGUUGCAGCUGUGGCUAGGAUUCAAUCUCUAGCCUGGGAAUUUCCAUAUGCUGCAGGUGCAGCCAUAAAAAAAAUAAUUUAAGCAUGAUCUUCACAGAUUUUUAUAUGGUAGAGGUAUUACUUAUUUAUUUCUGUGUAACAGACUACUUUAAAGCAAUAACUGUUUUUUUGAUUCCUGAUUCUGUGGGUUGGCAGUUGGCUGGGCUCGUCUGGGUAAUUAUGAUCUCUGCUAGACUCCUUCAUGAUCUGUCAUUGGUUGCAGGUCACCUAGCCAACUUUGCUGACCUUGGAUAGACUUUUUCACAUCUCUGAGGGCUCGACUGGGACUGACCCACAGACUCAAUUGUGUUCCAUGUGAUAUGAUCCAGCAAGCUAUCCCAGCAUACAUGGCAGCAUCAUCAUCCCAAGAAAACAGGCAGAAGCAGGGCCUCUUGGGUCCUAGGCUUAGGACUGACACAUCUGUUACUCCCACCAUGUUCUAUUGGCUAAAGUAAGUCACAAGGCCAGCCCUGAUUCAUGGGGUGGGGGAAAUUCAAAGUCAGCCAAAAAUGGCGAGGACAGUAGGGAGAAUGAAUCAUUGUGGCUAUUUUUGCAGUCAACCACAGUGGACACGAUUUAACAUAGAGUCUCCUUCCUUGACAACACAGAAUGCUGUUACACUAAGUGGUGACUAAGUGUUACACCACUGAUGCUGAAUUCUGAUCCCAAUGUUGCAGCUCACCAUCUGGGUGACUGUGUUUCAGUUUACUUUCCUAUACAGUGAGACUGGCAAUAGGCCCUACCUCAUAGGGUCAUUAUGAUAAUGUAAUGAAUUACUGCACAUAAUAAUUGGAGGCCUGAAGUGCUCAAAAACUGUUAGCUAUUAUUAACAAAAUUAUGUUGCUUUGAAACUGUUAUUCACUUUCAUAUUUAUUUCUCUGCUAGACCUUAGACCCAUUGAGGGAGGGACCUUCCUGCAUUUAAUCUUUCAUCAGAAUUUAUUGAGCAUCAUGACAUGCCAGAUAGGAGCUGGGGGAUAACUGGCCUCUGUGGGACAGAAGCCUGUAACUAUGUUAUUUUUAGCACCACCUUUUGUUUGUUUUGUUUUGUUUUUUGUUUGUUUUUUGGUUUGUUGGCUGAGCCUGUGUGCAUGUGGAAUUUCCUGGGCCAGGGAUCAAACCCAUGCCACAGCAGGGACCCAAGCCCCUGUAGUGACAAUGCCAAAUCCUUAACCUGCCGUGCCACAAGAGAACUCUAGUACCAUGUGUAUCUGGUAUCUUACUUUCCUAAACUCCUACCUCCACUUUUUUUUUUCCAUUUUUUAAAAUAACUUGUUGGUAUUAUUGUUUAAAUCUUUGGAAUGUUUUCAUACAUGUUUGGUGGUCUCUUUUACAUAUAUCCACUGGUUAUCCUGUGUGUGCCUCUUUGUGUUACUCCAGUCCCAUCAGUUAUAGUAGGUUAGUAAGGCUUUGACUUUUGUUACUGUAUUUUCCAGAACUUUUGUUUCUGUAUUUCCAGACUUUUGUUUCUAUAUCUAUUCCCCGUGUUCCUGAGUUUGUGGUAAAUGUUGAAUACUUUUAAAGGGAACUUAUUAUGUUCAUUUAGCCAAACAGUGGCAUCAUUUAUCCAUUCCUUCUGACAAAUGGGAGUAGUGAGUUCCCAGAGCUGUUGGAUGGAUUAUUUCUGUAAUUUUCAGCAGACAGCAGAGCCAUUUGGUACCUAGGUUUUCUCAUUUGCCAGUUGGGAAUAAAACUAAUGACCCUACUUGUCUAUAGGGUUUCAGUGAAAAGCAAAUUAAAGAAUAGAAUCAAACAAAUUGAGAGAAUGACUUAAUAUCUGUAAUGGGAAUGAGGUCACAUUUGAUAAGGAGCAAAAGUAGCUAAACCAGUGGAGGAGAGAAACUGGCAAAGAUGCCCAAAAUUCUAGGGACCAAAAGGAACUUGUAUCAGUCUAAAGAUUUUUGAAAAAAUAGGAAUAACAUUUUACUUAAUAUAAUUGCUCCCUAUCUUUUCCAUCUUUCCCAGCUUUCCCCCUACUUCAUGAAUGUAAAUCAAGGCUGAACACAGAAGCUUCUGUAUGAUGUAAAAUCACUGUUGUAGUUACUGUAAAAUGUUGCAUGUACUUCACUUCUAUAAGUACAAUGUGUUCUGCUUCACUUUUAUUUUACUCUAUUAGGUAUGCAGCCCAUUUGCCAGGGUGAGUUAUCUCCUCUUAGAGUUUGGUUAUAUACCUAGUCUAUUUUGUAAACAGAAUUUCCAUUAAAAAUGAAUUACUUUUCCUUCGAGCUUAUUGAUGGGGCUGACACAUCGCUAAAUUUCUUUUCUGAGCCAAGAUUUGUCACCUUGAUCAAAAGUUGGCAAAAUGCAAUUUGUGAUCACACGAAAGGUACAAGUGGUGUGUGCCCUUCAAAAGGUUUUCUUAGUGGCACACUUGCCCUUGAUUUUUGUCUUUAAAGCAAUUAACCAGCAGGAACAAAGAAAUAGCAGCUCUGCACUCUGACUCCUCAUAUAGUCUUGGCAUUCACCAGAAACACUUUUCUUCAUUUAGGAAGAAGUGUUCCUCUGACAGACAGUCUGGAACAAAGUGUACUCACACACAUACAAUGAGUCAAGAAUUGGAUUGUGAAACACGAGACCCCAAACAGUAAGCUAAAGAUGUAACAUCGAAUGCUUGGCAGAAAGAUUAUGUUGCAAGCCCUCUGAAAUCCAGCCCAUGACACAGUCAGGCAUUGCUGAUAUUAGUAAUCACUCCCCAAUAUUUCCAGAAAAGGAGGGAAGAAGAAAGUACUGGUUUGGUGAGCUUGUCUGUCUGCUUCUUUCAAUUUUAUCAAUCAAAACUUGUGAAAAAGGUUUUGUUCCCCUGCUUAUUAAUACAUGGUCAAGAUAGGAAAAAAAAAAA
rnacentral:lncRNA from 1 species